GGGCUUUAUAAUGAGGCUGUCCAAUGAAUUUUGGCACCAAGUAUCGUUGAAAAUACUAUAUUGGUCUUUGGGCCAUUCAGUUGUUGAGUAUGCCUCUGUGUUUUGGGAUCCAUUCGCAGCAGCUGAUCGUGUCCAGUUAAAACGAGAUUAACUUAAAUUUAUAAGUUAUGCUGUGUUUUCCCUUAAAAUUUAACAUUAUCAGCAUGUUUAUGCUCCUAUAACUGCGCAGCUUAGAUUAGACUUCUUGUUGGAUCGUAGGCUUUUGUGGAAUUUUAAA